CCUACGUGAUGCAGCAGUGGGGAAUAUUGCACAAUGGGGGAAACCCUGAUGCAGCGACGUCGCGUGCGUGAUGAAGUAUUUCGGUAUGUAAAGCUCUAUCAGCAGGGAAGAAAAUGACGGUACCUGACUAAGAAGCCCCGGCUAACUGCGUGCCAGCAGCCGCGGUAAUACGUAGGGGGCAAGCGUUAUCCGGAUUUACUGGGUGUAAAGGGAGCGUAGACGGCGGUGCAAGCCAGAUGUGAAAGCCCGGGGCUCAACCCCGGGACUGCAUUUGGAACUGUGCUGCUAGAGUGUCGGAGAGGCAGGCGGAAUUCCUAGUGGAGCGGUGAAAUGCGUAGAUAUUAGGAGGAACACCAGUGGCGAAGGCGGCCUGCUGGACGAUGACUGACGUUGAGGCUCGAAAGCGUGGGGAGCAAACAGGAUUAGAUACCCCUGUAGUC
rnacentral:rRNA from 1 species